GGCAUAGCGUGGAUUGCGGAGGAUGCGUGUCACUCUGUUGUGCUCCAGGUCACCCCACCCGACUUCCACAGGACAUCCGGGCUGCCGAAUCAAUCGCGGGAAGCGCAGACCGUGCUCGCGAAAGUGCUUCGCCACACCGAGCGCUGAACCCACCCGGCGAAAGGUGUCGAAGACGGAUCGAAUUGCCUGCUGAACUUGCUGAUCAGGGUCCAACACCACUCGGCCUUCAUCGUCGUAGACGAAGCCAAACGGCAGUGGCGUUUCCAGUUCGCCGCGCUUGUUCAGAACCCCGCCGCGCAUCCGGGCGCGGAUGAGGUGGAGUUCUGCUUCGCUCAUUGUGCCCUUCAGACCCAACAGGAGACGAUCGUUGAAGUCACCGGGAUGAUAAAUGCCAUCCUCGUCCAGGAUCAACGUAUCUGUGAGGGCGCAGA
rnacentral:misc_RNA from 1 species